rnacentral:rRNA from 1 species
CGAACGCUGGCGGCGUGCCUAAUACAUGCAAGUUGAGCGCUGAAGGUUGGUACUUGUACCAACUGGAUGAGCAGCGAACGGGUGAGUAACGCGUGGGGAAUCUGCCUUUGAGCGGGGGACAACAUUUGGAAACGAAUGCUAAUACCGCAUAAAAACUUUAAACACAAGUUUUAAGUUUGAAAGAUGCAAUUGCAUCACUCAAAGAUGAUCCCGCGUUGUAUUAGCUAGUUGGUGAGGUAAAGGCUCACCAAGGCGAUGAUACAUAGCCGACCUGAGAGGGUGAUCGGCCACAUUGGGACUGAGACACGGCCCAAACUCCUACGGGAGGCAGCAGUAGGGAAUCUUCGGCAAUGGACGAAAGUCUGACCGAGCAACGCCGCGUGAGUGAAGAAGGUGUUCGGAUCGUAAAACUCUGUUGGUAGAGAAGAACGUUGGUGAGAGUGGAAAGCUCAUCAAGUGACGGUAACUACCCAGAAAGGGACGGCUAACUACGU